rnacentral:rRNA from 1 species
GGUUAAGCGACUAAGCGUACACGGUGGAUGCCCUGGCAGUCAGAGGCGAUGAAGGACGUGCUAAUCUGCGAAAAGCGUCGGUAAGGUGAUAUGAACCGUUAUAACCGGCGAUGUCCGAAUGGGGAAACCCAGUGUGUUUCGACACACUAUCAUUAACUGAAUCCAUAGGUUAAUGAGGCGAACCGGGGGAACUGAAACAUCUAAGUACCCCGAGGAAAAGAAAUCAACCGAGAUUCCCCCAGUAGCGGCGAGCGAACGGGGAGGAGCCCAGAGCCUGAAUCAGUGUGUGUGUUAGUGGAAGCGUCUGGAAAGGCGUGCGAUACAGGGUGACAGCCCCGUACACAAAAAUGCACAUGCUGUGAGCUCGAUGAGUAGGGCGGGACACGUGGUAUCCUGUCUGAAUAUGGGGGGACCAUCCUCCAAGGCUAAAUACUCCUGACUGACCGAUAGUGAACCAGUACCGUGAGGGAAAGGCGAAAAGAACCCCGGCGAGGGGAGUGAAAAAGAACCUGAAACCGUGUACGUACAAGCAGUGGGAGCCUCUUUAUGGGGUGACUGCGUACCUUUUGUAUAAUGGGUCAGCGACUUAUAUUCUGUAGCAAGGUUAACCGAAUAGGGGAGCCGGAGGGAAACCGAGUCUUAACUGGGCGUUAAGUUGCAGGGUAUAGACCCGAAACCCGGUGAUCUAGCCAUGGGCAGGUUGAAGGUUGGGUAACACUAACUGGAGGACCGAACCGACUAAUGUUGAAAAAUUAGCGGAUGACUUGUGGCUGGGGGUGAAAGGCCAAUCAAACCGGGAGAUAGCUGGUUCUCCCCGAAAGCUAUUUAGGUAGCGCCUCGUGAAUUCAUCUCCGGGGGUAGAGCACUGUUUCGGCAAGGGGGUCAUCCCGACUUACCAACCCGAUGCAAACUGCGAAUACCGGAGAAUGUUAUCACGGGAGACACACGGCGGGUGCUAACGUCCGUCGUGAAGAGGGAAACAACCCAGACCGCCAGCUAAGGUCCCAAAGUCAUGGUUAAGUGGGAAACGAUGUGGGAAGGCCCAGACAGCCAGGAUGUUGGCUUAGAAGCAGCCAUCAUUUAAAGAAAGCGUAAUAGCUCACUGGUCGAGUCGGCCUGCGCGGAAGAUGUAACGGGGCUAAACCAUGCACCGAAGCUGCGGCAGCGACGCUGAUGCGUUGUUGGGUAGGGGAGCGUUCUGUAAGCCUGUGAAGGUGUGCUGUGAGGCAUGCUGGAGGUAUCAGAAGUGCGAAUGCUGACAUAAGUAACGAUAAAGCGGGUGAAAAGCCCGCUCGCCGGAAGACCAAGGGUUCCUGUCCAACGUUAAUCGGGGCAGGGUGAGUCGACCCCUAAGGCGAGGCCGAAAGGCGUAGUCGAUGGGAAACAGGUUAAUAUUCCUGUACUUGGUGUUACUGCGAAGGGGGGACGGAGAAGGCUAUGUUGGCCGGGCGACGGUUGUCCCGGUUUAAGCGUGUAGGCUGGUUUUCCAGGCAAAUCCGGAGAAUCAAGGCUGAGGUGAUGACGAGGCACUACGGUGCUGAAGCAACAAAUGCCCUGCUUCCAGGAAAAGCCUCUAAGCAUCAGGUAACAUCAAAUCGUACCCCAAACCGACACAGGUGGUCAGGUAGAGAAUACCAAGGCGCUUGAGAGAACUCGGGUGAAGGAACUAGGCAAAAUGGUGCCGUAACUUCGGGAGAAGGCACGCUGAUAUGUAGGUGAAGCGACUUGCUCGUGGAGCUGAAAUCAGUCGAAGAUACCAGCUGGCUGCAACUGUUUAUUAAAAACACAGCACUGUGCAAACACGAAAGUGGACGUAUACGGUGUGACGCCUGCCCGGUGCCGGAAGGUUAAUUGAUGGGGUCAGCGCAAGCGAAGCUCUUGAUCGAAGCCCCGGUAAACGGCGGCCGUAACUAUAACGGUCCUAAGGUAGCGAAAUUCCUUGUCGGGUAAGUUCCGACCUGCACGAAUGGCGUAAUGAUGGCCAGGCUGUCUCCACCCGAGACUCAGUGAAAUUGAACUCGCUGUGAAGAUGCAGUGUACCCGCGGCAAGACGGAAAGACCCCGUGAACCUUUACUAUAGCUUGACACUGAACACUGGUCCUUGAUGUGUAGGAUAGGUGGGAGGCUUUGAAGUGUGGACGCCAGUCUGCAUGGAGCCGUCCUUGAAAUACCACCCUUUAAUGGCUGGUGUUCUAACGUAGGCCCCUUAUCGGGGUUGCGGACAGUGUCUGGUGGGUAGUUUGACUGGGGCGGUCUCCUCCUAAAGAGUAACGGAGGAGCACGAAGGUUGGCUAAUCCUGGUCGGACAUCAGGAGGUUAGUGCAAUGGCAUAAGCCAGCUUGACUGCGAGCGUGACGGCGCGAGCAGGUGCGAAAGCAGGUCAUAGUGAUCCGGUGGUUCUGAAUGGAAGGGCCAUCGCUCAACGGAUAAAAGGUACUCCGGGGAUAACAGGCUGAUACCGCCCAAGAGUUCAUAUCGACGGCGGUGUUUGGCACCUCGAUGUCGGCUCAUCACAUCUGGGGCUGAAGUAGGUCCCAAGGGUAUGGCUGUUCGCCAUUUAAAGUGGUACGCGAGCUGGGUUUAGAACGUCGUGAGACAGUUCGGUCCCUAUCUGCCGUGGGCGCUGGAGAACUGAGGGGGGCUGCUCCUAGUACGAGAGGACCGGAGUGGACGCAUCACUGGUGUUCGGGUUGUCAUGCCAAUGGCACUGCCCGGUAGCUAAAUGCGGAAGAGAUAAGUGCUGAAAGCAUCUAAGCACGAAACUUGCCCCGAGAUGAGUUCUCCCUGACCCUUUAAGGGUCCUGAAGGAACGUUGAAGACGACGACGUUGAUAGGCCGGGUGUGUAAGCGCAGCGAUGCGUUGAGCUAACCGGUACUAAUGAACCGUGAGGCUUAACCUU